GCUUCCUCUGGGCCAGAGAAGGACAUUUUUGGAAGGGCCUGGAAACUCAGCCUCCUUUCUCAAGGAUCCCACGUUGUCAUCACCACAGUCCUCCCCACAAACUGUCCCUGCCUCACUGCCUGCACCUGUGGGAACCAACCCUUUUUAUGGAUAAUUUUAUCUUCAAAGUGCUUUUGGCUGGUUAAUUGCCUGGUGCGGCCCUGCCAAGGAUGUGGUUCGUCCUGAUGGAGGAAGGCUGAUGUGAGCAGCAUGGGGAAGACUUUGCCAGGCUGUCUUGGCAAGGCACGGCUCUGAGUUAGAGGAGCCUGGGAGAGAAUCCCAGCUCCACCACUUUAAUGCAUCUCUGGGAGCCUUAAAUAAUUUUUUUUUUUUUUUUUUUGAGACAGGGUCUCACCCUGUCACCCAGCCUGGAGUGCAGUAGUGCAAUCAUGGUUCACUGCAACCUUGACAUCCUGGGCUCAAGUGAUCCUCCUGCCUCAGCCUCUCAAGCAGCUGGGACUACAGUCUCACUCUGUUGCCCAGGCUGGAGUGCAGUGGUGUGAUCAUGGCUCACGGCAGCCUUGACCUCCUGGGCCCAAGCCAUCCUCCCACUUCAGGCUCCCAAGUACAGCUUAUUUCAGUGAACUGGCCACAUUUCAAGUUCUCAAUGGCCAUAUGACUCGGGCUACCAUAUUGGAGAGCACAGCUCUAGACCUUUUUGAAACCAGUGCAGGGCAGGCCAGGAUCUUGUGUGAAAUGAGCUGACAGAAGAGACCAACAUGGAGAGCCUCACCCCCACGGACCACAGCAGACACAUCACAGAGUUACCAGGAAUUCCAGAAAGGAAGUCAAGUGAUGAAAGACUGAAGGAUGGGAACCCUGGGAGGACUGCUCCCUAAGGGAAGCUGGGUGGAAAGUUCUCACGGAGUCCAGCCCCGUUCCGCCUGCUCUGCCCUGGGGGUCUCCCAGCCCCUGUCCCUCCGCGAAUUGAGGAGCGGUCCUAAUUGCCAGUUGCCUUAAAGAGUUUGGGGAAACUGAAGACUGGGGUCCUUUAUAGGCAGGUUCUGGAUCAAGAGGGGCGGGGAGAGGCCUUGGAUUUGGAUUCCUGAAAUCCACAGAAAACCCUGCCCUUACACUACUUUAUUUUAAAGGUUUUUUUUUUUUUUUUAAAUUACAAAAGUAAAACAAGCGUGCUGUAAAAAUAGCAUAAACAUAUACAGUGCAUAGGCUGGGCUCGGUGGCUCAUGUCUGUAAUCUCAGCACUUUGGGAGGCCGAGGAAGGUGGAUCACGAGGUCAGGAGUUCAAGACCAACCUGGCCAAGAUGGUGAAACCCUGUCUCUACUAAAAAUACAAAAAUUAGCUGGGCAUGGUGGCAGGCACCUGUAAUCCCAGGUACUCGGGAGGCUGAGGCAGGAGAAUCGCUUGAACCCGGGGGCGGAGGCUGCAGUGAGCCAAGAUCGUGCCACUGCACUGCACUCCAGCCUGGGCGACAGAAUGAUACUCCAUCCCAGGAAACAAACAAACAAACAAAAACCAUAUACAGUGCAUAAAGAAAAAGGCAGAAGUCCUUCUCCAGGUGGCCUCCCUGCCCAAAUCUGCUCCUCAGGGUGGGCCCUGAGGCUGCUGGAGUCUCCUGUGCUGGGAAGCCCUCCACGCUGCCUCCCUCCAGGCCUUUAAUCCAGUCUUGAGGUGCCUGAAUCUCUGUUUUGUACACCUGCACACCUUCUAGUGGGGGUACUUUGCAAACUCCAUGUGAGGACAAGCAGAUGGAAUGGCAAGUGGCAGGUGUGGCCUAAGGUAUCCUCCCAUUGGGCUCCCCCACCCUUGGAAAUUAGGAUCUUAAAUUUUGGUCCUGACCAAGUCCCACUAAAACUUGGCUACUAGGUUGGUUUUCCAAUUCCAGGGCCAAAAGGAAACUGGGAACAAUGCUACCUACUAGCAAAAGAAAAAAACCAAAUUUGUUAGAACAGUGACCCUAACUAGUCAAAGGCAGUGCUUUCACCUAGAGGUAAUAAUAAUAACCACUUCUGGGAGCCCUUAUUGAAGGCCGGGCUUUGCUUUAAGAGUGAGGACUGCUAAUAUUUCUCUUUUCUAGAUGAGGACACUGGUGCUCAGGGAGGUUCACUGCAGGAGGCAGGAGAGUGCAGUGGUGAGGAGCUCAGGCUCUGCGGCCCGACCACCUGGUCAUCCAUCCUGGUUCUGCUGCUUAUCAGCUGUGUGACCUCAGACUUACAUUAUGGAGUCUCUCAUGACUUGGUUUCCUCUCUAGUAAAAUGGGGAUGAUGACAGUGUCUCCCUCCAAGGGGGGUGGUGAUUAAAUGAGUUAUUAUGUGGCUGGGCAUUGUGGCUCAUGCCUGUAAUUGCAGCACUUUGGGAGGCUGCAGCAGGAGGAUCACUUGGGCCAGGAGUUUGAGGUUACAGUGAGCUAUAAUCGCACCACUGUGCUCCAGCCUGGGUGACAGAGUGAGACCUUGUCUCAAAAAAAAAAAAAAAAAAAAAGAGUAUGUGUCAAGUGCCUGGCACAGAAAAGAUGCUCAAUAAAUAUGAGAACUGGGAUUAAAUAAUGGGCCUAAGUCUCAGCUAGUGGCUGAUGGAGAAGGCAUCUGAAUCCCGGUCUGAUGUGGUUGAGGGUCAGGCUUACCCGCUAUGUAGUGCUGUCUCCCUAGAGCCUGCCGGCUCUCAACUCCUCUCCCACCUUCAAGGCCUAGAUCCUCGGGAGUCCCAGCUGUCACUGAUGUGAGGAUGACAUGUGUCUCCUCUGAAGAACCAAUGAUUCCUGGUGAGUCAUGGGAGGCAGAGAAGACUCUUGGACUUUUGGCAGAAGAUGGUUAGCCCUGGGCCUUUCUCCUCGGAGGAAAGCCUGUAAGUCCCUUGCCCUGAUCGGUGCUUGGCAGGGAGGAUGGGGGAUUCCCUAUCUUUCUAGGGAUACCCUAAACUCAAGUACCCUCAUUAUGAUACAGUAUCUGACGCAAGCACAGGGGAAGUGUGGCUGCCUCCUAAGGGUGGAAAUAGCAAUGAGGGAGGCUGUCAAACAUGAUUUGCUGGAGUGGUGAUGUCCAACCUGAGUCUUCAAAGAUGGGGGGAAGUUAUGAAGGGAGGGGAAGGACAUUCUGGGCAGAGGGCACAAUUUGAGCAGAGAGGCUAGACAUGGCAUCUGAGAAGGAUCAAGUCUGAAGAAAGAAGCAGCAAAAGAUGAGGCUGCAGAGGUCAACAGUGGUCAGAAUUUGGAAAUCUUUGUAUAAUCUGCUGAAAUGCUUGGACUUUUUUUGAUCGAAAAUAGAGAGCCAAUGAAGAGUUAUAGAGGAGAUAACAAUGGUAAAGUUUUGUCAGGUGUAAA